CAGUAGCCGCGGUAAUACGUAGGGUGCAAGCGUUAAUCGGAAUUACUGGGCGUAAAGCGUGCGCAGGCGGUUUGUUAAGACAGACGUGAAAUCCCCGGGCUCAACCUGGGAACUGCAUUUGUGACUGGCAAGCUAGAGUGUGGCAGAGGGGGGUGGAAUUCCGCGUGUAGCAGUGAAAUGCGUAGAUAUGCGGAGGAACACCGAUGGCGAAGGCAGCCCCCUGGGCCAACACUGACGCUCAUGCACGAAAGCGUGGGGAGCAAACAGGAUUAGAUACCCCCGUAGUCCCUGUCUCUUAUAC
rnacentral:rRNA from 1 species